rnacentral:rRNA from 1 species
AACGCUAGCUACAGGCUUAACACAUGCAAGUCGAGGGGCAGCAUGGUCUUAGCUUGCUAAGGCCGAUGGCGACCGGCGCACGGGUGAGUAACACGUAUCCAACCUGCCGUCUACUCUUGGACAGCCUUCUGAAAGGAAGAUUAAUACAAGAUGGCAUCAUGAGUCCGCAUGUUCACGUGAUUAAAGGUAUUCCGGUAGACGAUGGGGAUGCGUUCCAUUAGAUAGUAGGCGGGGUAACGGCCCACCUAGUCUUCGAUGGAUAGGGGUUCUGAGAGGAAGGUCCCCCACAUUGGAACUGAGACACGGUCCAAACUCCUACGGGAGGCAGCAGUGAGGAAUAUUGGUCAAUGGGCGAGAGCCUGAACCAGCCAAGUAGCGUGAAGGAUGACUGCCCUAUGGGUUGUAAACUUCUUUUAUAAAGGAAUAAAGUCGGGUAUGGAUACCCGUUUGCAUGUACUUUAUGAAUAAGGAUCGGCUAACUCCGUGCCAGCAGCCGCGGUAAUACGGAGGAUCCGAGCGUUAUCCGGAUUUAUUGGGUUUAAAGGGAGCGUAGAUGGAUGUUUAAGUCAGUUGUGAAAGUUUGCGGCUCAACCGUAAAAUUGCAGUUGAUACUGGAUAUCUUGAGUGCAGUUGAGGCAGGCGGAAUUCGUGGUGUAGCGGUGAAAUGCUUAGAUAUCACGAAGAACUCCGAUUGCGAAGGCAGCCUGCUAAGCUGCAACUGACAUUGAGGCUCGAAAGUGUGGGUAUCAAACAGGAUUAGAUACCCUGGUAGUCCACACGGUAAACGAUGAAUACUCGCUGUUUGCGAUAUACAGCAAGCGGCCAAGCGAAAGCGUUAAGUAUUCCACCUGGGGAGUACGCCGGCAACGGUGAAACUCAAAGGAAUUGACGGGGGCCCGCACAAGCGGAGGAACAUGUGGUUUAAUUCGAUGAUACGCGAGGAACCUUACCCGGGCUUAAAUUGCAGAUGAAUUACGGUGAAAGCCGUAAGCCGCAAGGCAUCUGUGAAGGUGCUGCAUGGUUGUCGUCAGCUCGUGCCGUGAGGUGUCGGCUUAAGUGCCAUAACGAGCGCAACCCUUGUUGUCAGUUACUAACAGGUUCCGCUGAGGACUCUGACAAGACUGCCAUCGUAAGAUGUGAGGAAGGUGGGGAUGACGUCAAAUCAGCACGGCCCUUACGUCCGGGGCUACACACGUGUUACAAUGGGGGGUACAGAGGGCCGCUACCACGCGAGUGGAUGCCAAUCCCCAAAACCUCUCUCAGUUCGGACUGGAGUCUGCAACCCGACUCCACGAAGCUGGAUUCGCUAGUAAUCGCGCAUCAGCCACGGCGCGGUGAAUACGUUCCCGGGCCUUGUACACACCGCCCGUCAAGCCAUGGGAGCCGGGGGUACCUGAAGUGCGUAACCGCGAGGAGCGCCCUAGGGUAAAACUGGUGACUGGGGCUAAGU